AUUGAACGCUAGCGGGAUGCCUUACACAUGCAAGUCGAACGAGCGGCGGAAGGGGGAGUAAUGUCUGGGAAACUGCCUGAUGGAGGGGGAGAACUACUGGAAACGGUAGCUAAGACCGCAUACCAUCAGAUGUGCCCAGAUGGGAUUAGCUAGUCGGUGGGGGAAUGGCCCACCUAGGCGACGAUCCCUAGCGGGUCUGAGGGGAUGACCAGCCACACUGGAACUGAGACACGGUCCAUACUCCUACGGGAGGCAGCAGUGGGGAAUAUUGCACAAUGGGCGCAAUCCUGAUGCAGCCAUGCCGCGUGUGUGAAGAAGGCCUUCGGGUGGUAAAGCACUUUCAGCGAGGAGUCGUUACUCGCAGAAGAAGCACCGGCUAACUCCGUGCCAGCAGCCGCGGUAAUAC
rnacentral:rRNA from 1 species